CCUACGGGUGGCUGCAGUGGGGAAUAUUGCGCAAUGGGCGAAAGCCUGAUGCAGCGACGCCGCGUGAGUGAUGAAGGUCUUCGGAUCGUAAAGCACUGUCAGCAGGGAGGAAGGGUAAAUGUGCUAAUAAGCAGUCAAUUGACGGUACCUGCAGAAGAAGCACCGGCUAACUCCGUGCCAGCAGCCGCGGUAAUACGGAGGGUGCGAGCGUUAAUCGGAAUUACUGGGCGUAAAGCGCACGUAGGCGGUAUGUCAAGUCAAGGGUGAAAUCCCCGGGCUCAACGUGGGAACUGCCUUUGAAACUGGCAGACUGGAGUGUGUGAGAGGAUAGUGGAAUUCCAGGUGUAGGAGUGAAAUCCGUAGAGAUCUGGAGGAAUAUCAGUGGCGAAGGCGACCACCUGGCACAUAACUGACGCUGAGGUGCGAAAGCGUGGGUAGCAAACAGGAUUAGAUACCCCUGUAGUC
rnacentral:rRNA from 1 species